rnacentral:rRNA from 1 species
GACGAACGCUGGCGGCGUGCUUAACACAUGCAAGUCGAACGGAAAGGCCCUGCUUUUGUGGGGUGCUCGAGUGGCGAACGGGUGAGUAACACGUGAGUAACCUGCCCUUGACUUUGGGAUAACUUCAGGAAACUGGGGCUAAUACCGGAUAGGAGCUCCGGCUGCAUGGUGGGGGGUGGAGAGUUUCGGCGGUUGGGGAUGGACUCGCGGCUUAUGAGCGUGUUGGUGGGGUAGUGGCUUACCAAGGCUGUGACGGGUAGGCGGCCUGAGAGGGUGACCGGCCACAUUGGGACUGAGAUACGGCCCAGACUCCUACGGGAGGCAGCAGUGGGGAAUAUUGCACAAUGGGCGGAAGCCUGAUGCAGCCACGCCGCGUGCGGGAUGACGGCCUUCGGGUUGUAAACCGCUUUCGCCUGUGACGAAGCGUGAGUGACGGUAAUGGGUAAAGAAGCACCGGCUAACUACGUG